UGUUAAAAAUUAUAUCUAUUUUUAUUGUUAAAAACUAACAUAAUUGACAGAAUAACCAAGCAGUUAUACGUGGCAUGCCACGUGUAACUCAUUAUGAUGUACAAUGACUAAUUUUAAUAUUAGAAAUGAUCAGUUUACUUUUUGAUC
rnacentral:pre_miRNA from 1 species